rnacentral:RNase_MRP_RNA from 1 species
UGCUGCGGGGAAAGUCCCCGUGCCUUGGGGCAGAGAGUGUCAGCGGGAGACCGCUAGGCCCCAGCCAUGGUGCCGGCGGUGAGGCUUUGAGCGGAGCCACGGUGCCAGGCCUGGGGCCAGUCGCAGCAGCACAGGCAUGCCGUGAGCGUUCGAUGAGAUCGCCAACUGAACGGGGCUCACUCUC